rnacentral:rRNA from 1 species
GACAGAGGAUGCAAGCGUUAUCCGGAAUGAUUGGGCGUAAAGAGCUCGUAGGCGGUUUGUCGCGUCUGCCGUGAAAGUCCGAGGCUCAACUUCGGAUCUGCGGUGGGUACGGGCAGACUAGAGUGAUGUAGGGGAGACUGGAAUUCCUGGUGUAGCGGUGAAAUGCGCAGAUAUCAGGAGGAACACCGAUGGCGAAGGCAGGUCUCUGGGCCACUACUGACGCUGAGAAGCGAAAGCAUGGGGAGCGAACAGG